rnacentral:rRNA from 1 species
UUGACCUCAAAUCAGGUAGGAAUACCCGCUGAACUUAAGCAUAUCAAUAAGCGGAGGAAAAGAAACC